GCCAAUACACUGGUGAAAUUGGAAAUACAUGCAGCCAAUAUAUCACAGUUUGUUUCAAAGGGUUUAUACAUCUUAUAUUAAUAUCUGUAAAGACACUGCUGUAAUUGGUGGGAUUACAAAAACCUGGGCCCACCCAUAAUGCAAAAUUCACUUUCUCAGAAUGCACAUACAACCCACUCACUGACACAGAGAAGGCUUUACGAUCCAAAAACACAUGAUCUAUCUACACAAUGUAUUAGUGUUUAUACCUAAACAAGGAGUGGUAGACGAGAGUGGAAACUUUAGAACCAACUUGAAAACGUGGUUUUUGGAGAAAGUUAAAGGACCACUAUAAACACACAGACCACUUCAGCUCAUUGAAGUGGUCUGGGUGCCAGGUCCCCCUAGUUACACUUCAGGGUUAAUCAAGCCUCUAGUGGCUGUCUCCCUGACAGCUCCUAGAGGCGCUUCAGCGAUUUACACUCAGUAAAUCGCACUUAUUACUUGCUGGACGUCG